rnacentral:rRNA from 1 species
UACAGAGGGUGCGAGCGUUGUCCGGAAUUACUGGGCGUAAAGGGCGCGUAGGCGGCCCCUCACGCGUGCCGUGAAAGCCCGGGGCUCAACCCCGGGUCGGCGGUGCGAACGGGGGGGCUGGAGCACAUCAGAGGCAGGCGGAAUUCCGGGUGUAGCGGUGAAAUGUGUAGAGAUCCGGAGGAACACCAGUGGUGCAGACGGCGCCCUGGGUCCGAACUGACGCUGAAGCACGAAAGCGUGGGGAGCGAACGGG